UAUUUAACGUAGAUAAAUGUGUUUGAGUCGCCCCCUGGAAAAAGAUUAAGAUUAGUAUUUUGAGGCGGCCCCUCCAGAAUAUUUUGAGGCGGCCCCCUCCAUUAUCGAUCAUUCAGUCACGUGACGUUUUUAGCGUGGACAAAGCAGAUUGAUCAUCCGCAACAAAGUCUUUGUUUAUAGACGUUUUUCAGUUUAUUUUUACGGACAGAUAAGUUAUUAUACAAUAUGCCACCAAAGCGCAGCCGUAUUGAACCAAUGGUAACCCGUACGAAGUCUAAACGGCAAAAACAAAGUUCUGAUGACAACACGGAGACAGCAACUC